GAUGAACGCUGGCGGCGUGCCUAAUACAUGCAAGUCGAGCGAACAGAUGAGGAGCUUGCUCCUCUGACGUUAGCGGCGGACGGGUGAGUAACACGUGGAUAACCUACCUAUAAGACUGGGAUAACUUCGGGAAACCGGAGCUAAUACCGGAUAAUAUAUUGAACCGCAUGGUUCAAUAGUGAAAGACGGUUUUGCUGUCACUUAUAGAUGGAUCCGCGCCGCAUUAGCUAGUUGGUAAGGUAACGGCUUACCAAGGCAACGAUGCGUAGCCGACCUGAGAGGGUGAUCGGCCACACUGGAGCUUGGACACGGUCCAGACUCCUACGGGAGGCAGCAGUAGGGAAUCUUCCGCAAUGGGCGAAAGCCUGACGGAGCAACGCCGCGUGAGUGAUGAAGGUCUUCGGAUCGUAAAACUCUGUUAUUAGGGAAGAACAAAUGUGUAAGUAACUAUGCACGUCUUGACGGUACCUAAUCAGAAAGCCACGGCUAACUACGUG
rnacentral:rRNA from 1 species